rnacentral:rRNA from 1 species
UUGACAUCCCGGAGACCUUAGGAAACUAGGGGGUGCUUCCAUCUGGAAGAAUCUGGAGUACAGGUGCUGCAUGGCUGUCGUCAGCUCGUGUCGUGAGAUGUUGGGUUAAGUCCCGCAACGAGCGCAACCCUUGCCUUUAGUUGCCAGCAGUUCGGCUGGGCACUCUAAAGGGACUGCCGGUGUUAAACCGGAGGAAGGUGGGGAUGACGUCAAGUCCUCAUGGCCUUUAUGACCAGGGCUACACACGUACUACAAUGGCCGAUACAAAGGGCAGCGACACUGCGAGGUGAAGCCAAUCCCGUAAAAUCGGUCUCAGUCCGGAUUGGAGUCUGCAACUCGACUCCAUGAAGUUGGAAUCGCUAGUAAUCGUGGAUCAGCAUGCCACGGUGAAUACGUUCCCGGGCCUU